GACGAACGCUGGCGGCGUGCUUAACACAUGCAAGUCGAACGGAAAGGCCCUGCUUUUGUGGGGUGCUCGAGUGGCGAACGGGUGAGUAACACGUGAGUAACCUGCCCUUGACUUUGGGAUAACUUCAGGAAACUGGGGCUAAUACCGGAUAGGAGCUCCUGCUGCAUGGUGGGGGUUGGAAAGUUUCGGCGGUUGGGGAUGGACUCGCGGCUUAUCAGCUUGUUGGUGGGGUAGUGGCUUACCAAGGCUUUGAAGGGUAGCCGGCCUGAGAGGGUGACCGGCCACAUUGGGACUGAGAUACGGCCCAGGCUCCUACGGGAGGCAGAAGUGGGGAAUAUUGCACAAUGGGCGGAAGCCUGAUGCAGCAACGCCGCGUGCGGGAUGACGGCCUUCGGGUUGUAAACCGCUUUCGCCUGUGACGAAGCGUGAGUGACGGUAAUGGGUAAAGAAGCACCGGCUAACUACGUG
rnacentral:rRNA from 1 species